UGGCUUUGGCAUCGAUGAAGAACGCAGCAAAAUGCGAUAAGUAGUGUGAAUUGCAGAAUUCAGUGAAUCAUCGAAUCUUUGAACGCACAUUGCGCCCGCCAGCACUCUGGCGGGCAUGCCUGUCUGAGCGUCAUGUCAACCCUCGGGGCCCCAGGGCCCCGGCGCUUGGGGAUCAGCCCCCCCCGCGGGGCUGGCCCUGAAAUCCAGCGGCGGUCCACCAACGACCUCCUCUGCGCAGUAGCGACGCACCGCAGCCUGGACGGCGUGGGGGCCACGCCGUAGAGCACCCCGAACCACCAAGGUUGACCUCAGAUCAGGUAGGAUUACCCGCUGA
rnacentral:misc_RNA from 1 species